rnacentral:rRNA from 1 species
GUGCCAGCCGCUGCGGUAAUACGUAGGUGGCAAGCGUUGUCCGGAUUUAUUGGGCGUAAAGCGAGCGCAGGCGGUUUUUUAGGUCUGAUGUGAAAGCCUUCGGCUUAACCGGAGAAGUGCAUCGGAAACCGGGAGACUUGAGUGCAGAAGAGGACAGUGGAACUCCAUGUGUAGCGGUGAAAUGCGUAGAUAUAUGGAAGAACACCAGUGGCGAAGGCGGCUGUCUGGUCUGCAACUGACGCUGAGGCUCGAAAGCAUGGGUAGCGAACAGGAUUAGAUACCCUGGUAGUCCAUGCCGUAAACGAUGAGUGCUAAGUGUUGGAGGGUUUCCGCCCUUCAGUGCUGCAGCUAACGCAUUAAGCACUCCGCCUGGGGAGUACGACCGCAAGGUUGAAACUCAAAGGAAUUGACGGGGGCCCACACAAGCGGUGGAGCAUGUGGUUUAAUUCGAUGCUACGCGAAGAACCUUACCAGGUCUUGACAUCUUCUGCUAACCUAAGAGAUUAGGCGUUCCCGUUACGGGG